rnacentral:misc_RNA from 1 species
AACCAUAGAAACCUGCGGAGUACCUGCGGAGGGAUCAUUAUAGUAUAUGGAAUCUCCAUUCUAUAAACCCACUCUGCGUAUCUUGUAACUGUUGCUUCCAUGGGACUUGGUUCCGCCACACCGGCUUCACGGCUGGUGAGCGCCCAUGGAAGGAGAAACAAAGCUCUUCUUUGAAAUGUAGUCAGUCUGAACAAGUUUUUAUAAACGUUAAAACUUUUAGCAAUGGAUCUCAGAUCGGAA